CAGUCGCCGCGGUAAUACGUAGGUGGCAAGCGUUGUCCGGAAUUAUUGGGCGUAAGGGGCUCGCAGGCGGUUUCUUAAGUCUGAUGUGAAAGCCCCCGGCUCAACCGGGGAGGGUCAUUGGAAACCGGGAAACUUGAGUGCAGAAGAGGAGAGUGGAAUUCCACGUGUAGCGGUGAAAUGCGUAGAGAUGUGGAGGAACACCAGUGGCGAAGGCGACUCUCUGGUCUGUAACUGACGCUGAGGAGCGAAAGCGUGGGGAGCGAACAGGAUUAGAUACCCCGGUAGUCCCUGUCUCUUAUAA
rnacentral:rRNA from 1 species